UCCCCGUUACCGAGGCGGUCUCGCUAGAAAAUCCAACUAGCGACGAGGGUUGCGCUCGUUGAGGGACUUAACCCGACAUCUCACGACACGAGCUGACGACGGCCAUGCAUCACCUGUCACCGGUCCAGCCGAACUGACGGUAUUGUUUCCAAUACCUGCGACCGGGAUGUCAAGUCUGGGUAAGGUUCUUCGCGUAGCCUCGAAUUAAACCACACGCUCCACCGCUUGUGCGGGUCCCCGUCAAUUCCUUUGAGUUUUAGCCUUGCGGCCGUACUCCCCAGGCGGGAUGCUUAACGCGUUAACUUCGCUACUUGAGGGGUCGAUACCUCAAACAGCUAGCAUCCAUCGUUUACGGCGUGGACUAC
rnacentral:misc_RNA from 1 species